rnacentral:rRNA from 1 species
AGGGUUCGAUCAUGGCUCAGAACGUACGCUGGCGGCACGCCUAACACAUGCAAGUCGAACGAAGUAGCAAUACUUAGUGGCAGACGGGUGAGUAACAUGUAGGUAUCUACCCUUUGGCCUGGAAUAACACGAGGAAACUUGUGCUAAUACCGGAUAAGUCUUUACGGAGAAAGCUUUAUGCACCAUUGGAUGAGCCUGCACUUGAUUAGUUUGUUGGUGGGGUAAUGGCCUACCAAGACUGUGAUCAAUAGCUGAUUUGAGAGGAUGAUCAGCCACAUUGGGACUGAGACACGGCCCAAACUCCUACGGGAGGCAGCAGUGGGGAAUAUUGCACAACGGAGGAAACUCUGAUGCAGCGAUGCCGCGUGAGUGAAGAAGGCCUUUGGGUUGUAAAGCUCUUUCGUCGGGGAAGAAAAUGACUGUACCCGAAUAAGAAGGUCCGGCUAACUUCGUGCCAGCAGCCGCGGUAAUAC